UACGUAGGGCGCAAGCGUUGUCCGGAAUUAUUGGGCGUAAAGCGCACGUAGGCGGCUCGUUAAGUCGGAUGUGAAAGCCCUGGGCUCAACCCAGGAAGUGCAUACGAAACUGGCGAGCUUGAAUAUGGAAGAGGGUCGCGGAAUUCCCGGUGUAGAGGUGAAAUUCGUAGAUAUCGGGAGGAACACCAGUGGCGAAGGCGGCGACCUGGGCCAAUAUUGACGCUGAGGUGCGAAAGCGUGGGGAGCGAACAGG
rnacentral:rRNA from 1 species